rnacentral:rRNA from 1 species
UACGUAGGUGGCAAGCGUUGUCCGGAUUUACUGGGCGUAAAGGAUGCGUAGGCGGACAUUUAAGUCAGAUGUGAAAUACCCGAGCUUAACUUGGGUGCUGCAUUUGAAACUGGGUGUCUAGAGUGCAGGAGAGGUAAGUGGAAUUCCUAGUGUAGCGGUGAAAUGCAUAGAUACCAUCAAGAACACCGAUUGCGAAGGCAGCUAACUAGGCUGUAACUGACGCUGAGGCACGAAAGUGUGGGGAUCAAACAGG